AUUGAACGCUGGCGGCAGGCCUAACACAUGCAAGUCGAGCGGAUGAAGGGAGCUUGCUCCUGGAUUCAGCGGCGGACGGGUGAGUAAUGCCUAGGAAUCUGCCUGGUAGUGGGGGAUAACGUCCGGAAACGGGCGCUAAUACCGCAUACGUCCUGAGGGAGAAAGUGGGGGAUCUUCGGACCUCACGCUAUCAGAUGAGCCUAGGUCGGAUUAGCUAGUUGGUGGGGUAAAGGCCUACCAAGGCGACGAUCCGUAACUGGUCUGAGAGGAUGAUCAGUCACACUGGAACUGAGACACGGUCCAGACUCCUACGGGAGGCAGCAGUGGGGAAUAUUGGACAAUGGGCGAAAGCCUGAUCCAGCCAUGCCGCAUGUGUGAAGAAGGUCUUCGGAUUGUAAAGCACUUUAAGUUGGGAGGAAGGGCAGUAAGUUAAUACCUUGCUGUUUCGACGUUACCAACAGAAUAAGCACCGGCUAACUUCGUG
rnacentral:rRNA from 1 species